UCCCUGGUGGCUCAGAUGGUAAAGCAUCUGUUUGCAAUGCAGGAGACCCAGGUUCGAUCCCUGGGCUGGGAA
rnacentral:tRNA from 1 species